GACACUUCUAACUAGGCAGGUGAGAUGUCCGUAUACUAAAAGGCACUUUGUGGUUGGCACAGUGAUGAUUCGAUCCUAGAAUGAGAAUUAUUUUCCCACCAUGUUCUCAUAAGGAGAUGUCUGUUGAUGCAGAAAGGCAGAACCGAGCAACUAGAGGACAUAUUCAAAAAGCUACCUGGCGCCCAAGUGUGAAAGAAUGGUGUACUGGAGAGGUACUUCUGCUACCCUGGUGAGAGGGCCCGACCUAAACGUCUGAUGUUAUUGGAGCCUAUAGAUCAGUUUCUGGCCACAUUAAUGAGACUGAAUGUUGAAUUGAUUCUAAGUCGCACCAAUUUCCACCUCACUUUCCAUGUCAGGAGCUUCGUCGGGGAUAUUCCACAUCUGAGCCAUGUCUAAAACAUGAAAAUCCAUGAAUUAUCAAUUUUGUGUGCAUAUGUUUUGCACUUUAAAUGAUUAAAAGUGUUUGUCAUUAAAUAGUUGUUAAGCGACAUUUAAUAAUCAUUGUAUUGACUUUUUUAUGUCAAUGAUGCUGGUUGAAAUUCAAACAAUGGAUACCAAUUUUGGAAACAAUUCUUUCAGUAGCUUUACCUGCUGCAUGGAGCUGGUCAGGUCAAAAGAUCUUUGAUCAGGAUGAAGUAGAUUAAAGUUGAUUUUCCCCUUCCUGAACUCCACCUCCCAUUCCUCACUCAGUCUGGUCAAAGCUUCUAUCAUUCAUAUAAGCAGAAGCCAAAAUUCCAUUCUUUGAGGAGUUGAAAAUGGAACUAUUUUUGCAUGUCAUUCGGGCCUCGAGAAAAAUUGGUAUCCUUCAAUAAUUCAAUUAAUUCCCCAUUCAUGACACUCCUACUUUGGUUCUAACCUAAAUGUAGAACUCUUUUUUAAAUUCAUUUCUCAAUUAAUCUAAUUUUGACAUCAAAACUAAACCAUGAUGUUCAUUACUGUACAAAUAAGAAAAGGGAGAUCACUCUAAUUUGAAAAAUGACGCAAACGUCUGCUAAAUAUGGAGAUUUUACAGUAAAAUCAAAAAUGGAAGAAAAAUCCCGAGAACUUGGAUACUUGGAAGAAGUUGACCUACAAAUUUUCGAUAGUGAGAUAGAAGAUCCUUUCCCUGGUAUUGGUGACGUAGGCGCGUUUUUCAAUUAUUUAAAAAGCUGAUUGAAAAAGUGGGAGUGGGGUGUUAACCCCAGAAAAGCAAAUUCUCAAAAUACUAUGAUUGAGGGCCCAAAGCGAUUCAAAAACAAUUGACGUCACUAUAGACGAUCUACCGGGUGGGAACAUUUUUCAGCACGGACUGAGGAUUUUUGCGCUUGCGUUGAAAUUUUAUUUUGUGGGGUGGUUUUCUUUGGAUUGAAUGUAUUUUAUAUAUGU